rnacentral:SRP_RNA from 1 species
GUGGGCCCCUCGCGCGGCGUCCAUCCUGUGAACCUCCCCAGGGCCGGAAGGCAGCAAGGAUAAGCAGGCUCUGACGGGUGUGCGGGGGGUUCCUUGU